rnacentral:rRNA from 1 species
UACAGAGGUGGCAAGCGUUGUUCGGAAUUACUGGGCGUAAAGGGCGCGUAGGCGGCCUUCUAAGUCAGACGUGAAAUCCCCAGGCUCAACCUGGGAACUGCGUCUGAUACUGGAUGGCUUGAAUCCGGGAGAGGGAUGCAGAAUUCCAGGUGUAGCGGUGAAAUGCGUAGAUAUCGGGAGGAACACCUGUGGCGAAAGCGGCGCACUGGACCACAACUGACGCUGAGGCGCGAAAGCUAGGGGAGCAAACAGG